CAUGUUUCCCGAGCCCUCAGGAGGAGUGAGGAAAUAGCAGAAAUACAGCUAGACAUGGAAAGGCUCAUGGACAGGGGCAGGGAUGUCUAAGUAGCACUAAUGUGAACAGAGAACCAGGACCAGACGGACGAGGUACAUGUCAGUGGAGGAUGGUGGAACCACGGCCAGGGGCUUCUGAUUGAGAGCUGACUGCUGUUUCAAGAGUUCCUAAGGAGCGCCUGGGUGGCUCAGAAAAGAGUCCACGAUUCAACAAUUUGAGUCAACACACAGCCCAGAUACACCAACCCCUCCAGCCACUUCCUGCCUGACGCAGCCUACAGAGUCCCCACCAUUUCCAGUCAGGUUAUGCCUCGCAGGCUCUCCGCUCCGUGAUCUCCCUGCUCCAGUGCCUAGGCCAUGCAGGGGCUUCCUCCCGAGGAUCUGUGCACUCACACUCCUUCCUUAUGCAGUGCUCCUUCCACUCUCCUCCCUCCUUCAGUCCUUCCUCCUUGAAUUAUCACCUUCUCCUGAGAAAAUCCCCAACCAGCCUUCUUAUAGACAGUCCCCUGUUCUGAGCUUCCAAAAUUUUUUCUCUGUAGCAUUUACGAACGUACUUCAUAUUUCACUUGCUGAUGCUGUUUGGAAGAAUACAAGCAGUGGUCAGGAGCACAGGCCUUGGAGGCGGUGGGCGUUAGCCAGGGUCGGCCUACACUACCAGAGGUCUGGUCUCAGGGCCACGGUCUCCUCGACAUGAGCCUCAGACGAAUCUGAGAAACUGAAAUUACCUUCUGAAAGGGGUGGGCAGGUGAUAGCAGGGGAAUUCGUAUUUUAUAGUUCCGGAUUCAAAUGUGGGCUCGGAGCAGGUGUUGUAGCUGGCUGAUCAAGGCUGCUCUGGAAUGAAUAGGGGAGCUGUCAUACAUGCCAGAAGAGACCUGGCUCCCAUGAGUCUGUCUCCUUAUGGUCGUGGGCCAUGUCCUGGUUUCUUGUUUUCUUUUCCCUUUCAUUGCACAGAGAUCGUAUUUGAAAACAGUUAUCACAGAAAGUUGUCACGACAAAAGUUGCUUCUGUGAGUUUUGAAGCUAAAAAACAAAACAAAUUAAAAAUUAAGAUAAAGCUGAAAAGCAGGUUAAAAAACCAAGAGCGAUUCACUGCCAGCUUUAAUAUUUCAUCUUUUUGUUAUAUAUUUUGUUUUACAAUUUCAUUGUCCAUUUUGCCCUGCAUUUUCAAAAGCUUCCUAGAAUAUUGUCGUAAGGGAUCUCUAAAUAAUUUGGCCAAAGCAGUGCCCCCUUAACCACAGCGCGAGACCCGCGGAUGGUGCCGGUGUUGUCUCCUUCACGUCCACACCCGGGAUAAAGUCCAUUUAUCAGUGAGGCACAGCCAGAGGCGCACAACAACUCCUAACGAACAGAACCAGCAGUACAAUCGUCUGGGACGGAAGGGGUGGGCUGUGGUCUCUCUCCCUCAGCGGUCUCCCUGCACAGAGCUCACACUCCUCGUGGUGGUGGGAGACGCCCAUGUGAGGAGACAAGGUGGGACGCCACACGCUGCGCUGACCUCUGGCAUGAGGUGAACCUCGUGGACGCUGGGCGCAGGAGGGCCCGCCGCUGACCUCUGACCUCUGGCGUGAGGUGAAAGGUGUGGCCGCUGUGAGGCAGGAGAGCCCGCCGCUGAGCUCUGACGCAGGGUGAACCACCCGGCCCGGCCGUGUGAUCAAGGUAGGCUGUGUUGAUAAGCGCCGGUGACAGAGGGAGACCAGGGAGCCUCUGAGAGGCGCGGGAGCUGGGGGGGUGCUCUUCCGGUCGGAGAGCGAGGCUUGACGGAGGUGACGUCAGAGGGCAGGUCGUGUGCCUUCCGGUCCAGCCCGGCCUGGUACCCUGUGGCUGGUGGUCCCUGACCUCUCAGUGGGGAGGGCCUGUGUCUGGGGCCGUGGUCCCGGGUCCCCUGUCGCCCAGCGCACAGGGGUGAGGUCUACGCGGUGCUCUGGGACACCUGGGCGAGGCCCCGCCUGAGUUUGUAACCCAGCGAGCCGCCGCCAUCAGACCUAAAGGAGCAGGGCUCCUGGGCCCGGGCUCUGUGCGCAGGGCCUCAGCCGGCCUUCCCCGAGGCUGCUGUCUCCAGAGAAGAGCGUUCUGCCUCCCGCCCUUGCCCCGCGAGGAGGUGCCUGUAAUCUCACCUCUUAAAUGACAUUGAAGGCCUCGCAGACCUGAGUGAAGCAAGGGACCGAGUCAGCGCUGAUUUUGUAAGUUAUCUGUAAGGGGAGGCAUUGCAACCCGCCUUAUUUUUCUUCUAGAAAGAAGUGGUCAGGGAACCCCAUAAAUUGGGAAGGAGGAAUACCUUCUUUCUCAAGAUGGGGGAGAACCGUAGUAACACGGAUUAAUUUGACUGGCAUCUCCUGUAAAAGGAGACCAAGCCAAAGGGUAGUGAAUUGCACUCUGGAGGGAAAAACAACCAUGGAACUGUCUUUCCAGCAGCAACGCCGAUUAAAACAUUACGUUUGAAUGUGUUCUGUGAAAGACUUCUGCGUCAAGACACAUAAUAAUUAUAUAUAUAUAUCAAGCAGCAGUGUUUUGGGUUGAAUUUAAGAUGUUUCCUCCAACUUCAGUCUCAAAAGGGAAAUGAUACAUUUUCAUACAAGUUGAUGCCCUCUGAACCAUAGUAAAAUCAAGGUGUUACCUCAAAAGUAGGGUCACCCCAACUUGAGACCAUAGGAAGUAGAAAGUGUACUAUUAUUGUUCUUAGCGUCACUGUAUAAACGGCACUUUCCAUGCGAGGCUUCCGUCUGUCCCACUUUUCUCUCAGCUUCUCAGGUGUGGCUCCUCUCCACAUGGCCACCCACUAGUUAGGAAAAGAGAGUAUUGACUUUAUCCAAGGACAAGCAGCAGGUUCAGGACCCCAUUAGUGGCCAAGAGGUGCACCACCUUUAUGGACAUGCUCCCACGAACCCUUGUCAACUGUAAAUCUGCAGAAAGUUGAGUCUGCAUGCUGACAUCCAGUGAUUGCUUUGAAAUCCGUUGUUUUGUGAAUGUGAGGGCAGGGUUCCCUCUGCAUUUUGUUCACACUUAUGCGAUUAGAUCUCCAUGAAACUUUAAUAGUCUAAUGCUCGUGAUGCUAGGGAUAUCGAGAGGAUGCUUUGGAAGCAUAAACCUGAAUGGGAGCCUUACCUCUGCCACAGAUUAGCACUUUACUCGAUUUCUCUGUACCUCAGUGUCCCCAUCUGUAAAAUGGGGACGUGGGAAACAUUUGCGUUUGCAGCAAUAGUGAAAAACAGAAAAGGGCUCAUCUGUGUUUACUGUGACAGUGGUUGUGAAUACUGUUUUUUAUACGCUGAUAAUGGAUUUGGACAAGGCAGAAAUAUCUUUAGGCCUCUGCCUUUUUAUUUAAUGAGAUAUAGAGAUAUUGUCAGUAAUGCCCUUUAAAACCUAAUAAUUCUGUGACUCUAAGACAGGGUGUAUACGGUCUGAAAGGUCUGUUACAGAGUUUUUAUUCAGAUGUUAGGAUGGGAAAAGAUAGGAUAAAAUAGGCCGAGAGGGAAAGAUUAGGAGGUCUCUGGGUGAUGAAAGACCUGUUUUCAAACAAUGCUGGGAGUGUCUGACCACAGCAAACCCCUUGGGCUAAGGUUCCUCUUAAGAAUAUAACAGACCCCACCUACUCCCCCCGGGUUCCCCUCGGAAAUUUGACAAAAGAGCUGACUCAAAGUAAGCAGUAGACCCUAGGACGGGUGACCCAUGAGGAACGGCAUGGUCAUAGACUGCCCCGCAUACGAUGGAACCGAGCCAAUCAGGAAUGGAGCACCCAGCACCUACAGCAGCCCUCCCAGUAAGGGUGGGGCCUGAGAAGGAAUGAGGGGGAAGGGAAGAGGUGCCUACCGGAACCUUGUAAAACAAGGACCCUUGCCUGUAGUCUGCGGGCAUUGACUUUCCAACGUCCCCUGGGCACGGAGAGCCCUCCUCCUGUGCUUACCUUCUGAGCUCAUCCUCUCGUGAACUGGCCACCACUCGUGUCCACCUCUUCACUCUCCGAAUGGUGACACAACGGCUCCCAGCUAUGGAGGCCAAGACCCCUGCAGCAGUCUCUGCACAGCGUUGCUGCCCCACUCUUAAAAAUAAUGCAUGGUAGAAGUGAUCCAAAAUAGUGGAACGUGCGUGCAGAGAACUUCAGGAGACGCGUGCUUGGCUCACGCUCAGCGGAGAGUGGCCAGCUUCGCCCUUGUGUCAGGUCACACACACAUGGCAUGUGACCUCCAUUACAGGUGCGCUGGGAGACGUGCCAGCUUGUCGGCUUGUGCCAAACAAAGAGUGAGCAAUGGGAUGGUUUUAGCAGCUUUUGCAGGCCUGUGCCGGGUUCCAGGACUCCCCGAGUGCUACCCACUAGGGGAUGUGCUCCAGCGCCCUGGGUCUGUGGGCAGCAUGUCAGAUGUUACCCAUCACACUUAACGUGCAAGACCUAGUGCAAAUGAGCAACUUUACCCCGUUCCUCCCAGGAAACCUUUAAUUUCCCUCAAACUUAAUAAGGGAAGAGAAAAGAGAUGUCCCAGAGAGUUUUUCAGCACUUAGGAGACAAAAAUAACAAGGCACGAGUUAUGUAACCUUCAGUAAGCUCUGUGGCUAAGUUUACAGCCUUUGGUAAUCUCUAAUUUGCAUGUGCUUUCUUCGGAGUUUUAAGUCUGUCCAGUUUUGUCUGGCUUUGGAGCAUCGUCUUUGGGAGGACGACAAACAGUUCUUUUGAAAUUUUGGCAAGUGUCACUGACCUGCUCGGAUGGGUUGGAGCCACACUUUUACACCUCCCUUCAUUUUUCAAACAAAACGCCCGAGUGAAAGCUGUAGGGAUUUAUGAUGAGUGAAUUAAAGAUUUUCUUUCUCUGUUUCCUCUCACCCAGCGUUUGAGAGCGCUAAGUGAUGUGGUUAGCUGUGAGUGUGGCUUGGCAGCUAGAAAAAUGUUUUAUACCCUAAAGUGGGCAAAGUCUCUGACUGUGGUAUGAUAGAACCCUCAGUGCAAUGUAUUUUGGCAGCACUGUUAUUUUUGCAGUGUUUAGUAUUGUUUAUUGCAGCCUGCUUUUUGGUCGAUCUUUUAUAUUUAUGUCUCUGUGUCCUGUGAUGGCUUAAACAUACGUAUCUUUCUUCCUUUGAGAUGGCCAAGCAGUUGUGCACUGAAGAGGUAUUUCCUGAUGAUUCAUUCAUUAACAAAAUACAGAGUUCUUUUGUAAACUCUCUUGGGCAAAUUGAUGAAAGUAAAAAAACUGUUUUCCUCUGAAUAAAAUAACUUUUGUUUGUACUUAUAUAUGCACACACACAGAAACUGAGUAUUUCAUUCCAUUUUAGACCUGUUUCCUUGUCUUACUCAUUUUCUUUGGAACAAUUGAGUACUUAGAGAAGUGAAGUAAAACUGUAAUCUUUAUAGAUCAAUUAGUCCAUUAUAACUUUUUGUAAAAUCUUAGAAUUACCUUGAUCAUGUGAAUUUAUCUGGAUAAACAUAUAUCUUUAAAAAUUAAAAGUAUUCUUACAGAUAGACACUGUAAGACUAAUUUUUCCAGACCUGUGCAUUGUUCCUUUGAAUUCUAAAAGUACGUUGGAUGUAUUGUCAAUGGCAUUCACAGCAUCAAAUUAAGUGUAUUCUUGAAUAAGACCUUACUGCACUUGUGGGGAUGAGCACUGGGUGUUAUAUAGAAACCAACUUGACAAUAAACUAUUAAAAAAA